rnacentral:lncRNA from 1 species
UGUAGGUGUAACAGAAGUCUUAGUAUGUGGAUCUAGUGCAGGAGCUAUUGCAAAAACAAUAAUUUACCCUCUGGAUGUUAUUAAAAAGAGACUAGAAAUACAGGGUUUUGAGAAAGCCAGGAAAGGUUUUGGUGCCGUAAGACAUUAUAAUGGACUGUGGGACUGUAUGAUCACAAUAAUGAAAGAAGAGGGAAGCGUCAGAGGUCUUUAUAAAGGACUUUCACCAGGGCUGAUAAAAGGGGGGUUGGCAGCUGGUGCUAACUAUUUAGUUUAUGAUCAAGUGUGUUACUUGUUAAGAAAGUAUCAUUCUUCUUGACAAAUAGUUAGAAUAAUUUGAUUUUAGAUCUUGAUUUUUUUUCAGUAUUUUAGUAAUCUCAUUUUAUUGUAAAUCUCAUUUUCAUAGAAAAAAGAACAUAUUUUGUUUCAUAUUGCAUUGUUGUUGUUGUUGUU